CCCACGUGUCCCACCGACUUAGCCGGUGACGGUCCAACGCUAAAUUCGGAUGAUUCGCGCGCCGCACACGGACCUGUUCGGGGAGAUUGACGCACGCCAGCCAUGGCGCUGGCGAUGGACCCCAUUAGCAAAUGGAGCCCGAAACAAGUGCUCGACUGGAUGAAAGGGCUGGACGAUUGUCUGCUGCAGUACAUGUGGAUGUUUGAGCGUGAGCAGGUCUCAGGGGAACAGAUCCUCCACAUCACUCACCAGGAGCUGGAGGAGCUCGGUGUUACACGCAUCGGCCACCAGGAGCUCAUCCUGGAGGCCGUGGACCUGCUAUGUGCACUGAACUACGGGUUGGAGACUGAGAGUCUGCGCUCUCUCUCUCACAAGCUUAAUGCCUCUGCCAAGAACCUCCAGAACUUCAUCACUGGCCGUCGCCGAGGGGGUCACUAUGAUGGCAGGGCAUCACGGAGACUGCCCAAUGACUUCCUCACAUCUGUGGUCGACCUGAUAGGAGCAGCUAAAAACCUGCUGGCGUGGCUGGACAGGUCACCGUUUGUCAGUGUCACUGAAUAUUCGGUGCUGAAGAACAACAUUGUCCAACUCUGUCUAGAGUUAACCACUAUAGUACAACAGGACUGUUCUGUGUAUGAAACAGAAAAUAAGAUACUUCAUGUGUGUAAGACUCUUUCAGGUAUCUGUGAGCACAUCAUCUCACUGUCGUCUGAUUCACUGCUGUCACAGUCUGCACACUUGGAGGUCGUUCACCUCACCAAUGUCACACCUAAUGAAGGCCUAGGGAUGUAUAUUAAAUCCACGUAUGAUGGCCUUCAUGUAAUAACAGGAACCACAGAGAAUUCUCCUGCUGAUCUGUGUAAGAAGAUUCAUGCAGGUGAUGAGGUCAUACAAGUAAAUCAUCAGACUGUCGUGGGGUGGCAGUUAAAGAACUUGGUUAAUUCUCUUCGUGAAGAUCCCAGUGGGGUCAUCCUCACACUGAAAAAGAGACCCCAUAACAUGUCUGCUUCCACCCCCUCCCUGCUCCGAAACACCCGCUGGAAACCACUCACACUGCAGCCCCUCCCUACUAGUCCAUGUAGUGAGUCUCCUACUCCCCCUGGUACUCUGGGACUUUCACCUGGUCUGGACUCACCAGCAACACACGAUGUAUUCAUUUUGUCCCCAGUUUAUGGGCACAGAGAGGAGGAGUUGGAGAGAGCUCUGGGCUUCAGUGGUCUGGGCUCAGAGUCCCCAGGCUUCUAUAUGGACCUGGACAGCUCUGGAGGGUCACACCGCCCCCUACUGGACCCUGAAACAGGCCGGAGCACAGUACUACGCUUCAGGGAUCACACCCCCACACGCAGUGAUCCGAGGCAGGUGUCUAUGACAACGGAAUGGCUUGCAGAACCUCAAGAAUCUGGAGUUUACAAGCGAGGAAGUCGAGAUUCAGAUUCCUCCCUCCUUCGUUUCCUCGGUGAUGACAGGAUCCUGGCCUUGCAGGAAGAGGCGGAGUUUCCUCAUCGUGACAUGGGCAGGCGAACCAGGAAGAAGAGCCGCAAUCCCAGCAGCCCCAGUUUCCCCAUUAGCCCCUCUGUACUGGCCCCAUCUGUGCGGCUGGAUGCAGGACCCCCGGAUGGGCUUCCUUUCUCUGUGCCUGACUCCAGCACUAUGCCACACUACCACAGGGCUACAGACACUCCCCGAGCAGAUACAGACUGGUAUGUCAGUGCAGCAGGAGACAGACAAGCAAGUGCAUCCAUGAGGAAGUCCGUACGUUACGCGUCUUUGAGGCCCAAGGCCAAGAAGAAGACCAGAGGGUCUCGGAGCAGCUGCAGUAGGAGGCGUAUAGCGUGUAAGGACCUCGGUCACGGGGACUGUGAAGGAUGGCUAUGGAAGAAGAAAGAUACCUCAGGCUACUUCACGCCCAAGUGGAAGAAAUACUGGUUUGUCCUAAAGGACUCUGACCUCUACUGGUACACCAAUCAGAACGAUGAGAAGGCUGAAGGCUUCAUCAACUUGCCAGAGUUUCGGAUUGACAGAGCAAUCGAAUGUCGAAGGAAACAUGCCUUCAAGGCCUGUCAUCCUAAAAUUAAAAGCUUCUUUUUUGCGACUGAUCACUUGGAAGAGAUGAACAGGUGGAUGAACCGUUUGGGAUUGGCUGCAAUUGGCUACACCCCUGACGACCCAGUUCCCCGUCCAGAUGAAGAUUACUGGAGUGAGAGUGAUCAGGAAGAGAUGGACGGAUCCAUGACACUCAAACAGGAAUCAACCUACCACAGGAAUCCCUCAGCGAGCUCAUCUAGUCCCUUUGCUGAGCGUCACUUCUCCAGCGGCUCCACCUUCUCUCACUCCUCCGCUGAGGAAUCACACUCGUCUUGCCGCUCUAACCAUUGCGAGCGCCGCUCCUGGCAGGACCUGAUUGAGACCCCUGUGGGGAGUACCGGGCUUCACUACCUCCAGACGGGGGCAGGUGAGGGGUGUGUCCCACUGUCUCCCGACAGGCUGCGCCAGGCUACGCUCCCCGCCCGGCGGCACCAUCCACCAGAACGCGAUGGGCCAUUUCCGUUGACGGACAGUGAGGAGCCCCGCCUACACUGCCACGCCCAGAAACAGCGGAGCCAGAGCCUUCCACGUAACCGUGGUGACACGCGUUCGCACACGCUCCGGGAUUCACAUGCAGGCCACAUGCAUGGCACGCUGCGACCUCGGGCACGCCUCCGUGAGGAGGAUGAGGAGGGGGUGGUGCAGCAGAGUGCUGGCGGCAGGCUGGACCCUCUGGAGGAGCUGUUCCGCUCCCUGGAGCAGGCCAGCCUCUCCGCCGUGGGCCACCACAGACCCUCCACGCAGCAGGAGUUCAGGCGCUCCUUCGUCAUACGCUGCAAUGACCCAGCAACUAACGAACGGCUGCACCGCAUACGAGCCCUGCGUUCCACACUGAAGGCUAAGGAAGAAGACUUGGCUGUGAUUACUCAGGUGCUGGAUGACCCUUGUUUGACCUCAAGGAAAUUCCGAGAAUGGAAGCAGAGAAACCUCGAGCUUUUCUCAGAUAUCUGCAAAUUUAGCUCUGCCCCUCUGGAACCACCUACUGAGCCCAACGACCUCUCACCUUUGUCUCCAACUUUGCUGAUGCAUACACACUCCUUUAUAGAGACACACGUCUGAAACACACACACACACACACUCCUUUACAAAGGCACACAUCUCUAACUCCUUUGCAAACACUCAUACAAUCAAAUGCAGAAAUACUUAGACACACACACACAUAAAAACAACAACACUGUGGAAUUUCAGUGCCCUACUCUAACCCCUACUGCCCACCCAUGAGCAUGACUGACAGCUGAGUGAACUAAUCCACUGGGAGAUGACCCUGGAGGAUUGUGGAAGGACUCCUGAACUCACCUGUACACCUCACCACACAGCUGCCACAUCUGUGCUUACCUGCACUGAUUCUAAGCAGGAAGAGUGCUCAUGUAGCCAUGGGCAACGGGCUUCACUCUGUUACCAAGCAACACCGCCCUACUGUGUUACCACUUUCAAAGCAUGCAAGCCUAUGUAUGUAAGAUAGAGGGAGAGAGAGAGACUCACAUCUUUCCUGUGCAUUUUGAUGUAGGAACGGCAGCCAAUAACGUGUCUAAUCUGACUGAUAGGUUCCUUAGGAUGUUUAGAAUAUAGCUAAACUUCUGCAUGGGUUAAACAUUUAUUAUUAUAUGCCAAACGGGCGGAAGAAAAGUAUGUAUAUAAGAAACUUUUCUUUGCCUAUAGCUGCAUCCUCUGUUGAAAACUGUGAACCCUACUUGUGAAUGCAAUCUUCUGGCACUGUAAGGACACACAGAAGCUUUCUACUUCUCUGUUGUUUUGGUUUGUUUUUCUACAAAAGUUGAAAAGCUUUGCUCAACUGGUCUUCUGACUGUUUUUGGCUUGGUGCCAGCUGACUGGUCAUUAGAUCUUAAGAUCCGAGUCCAUUCAGGUCUGAUAUUUUUGGUUCUUUCUUAUCGUAUGCACUUCCUCUGUUAAGCUUAGCACACUCACAUGUGCGAUUCAGCUUAAGAAAUCCUGAACUCACUUUAAGAUCUAGAAUCGCAGUUGAAUCUAAUCUGACUGUUGUGCUAGCGAUGAGCUUUACUGCAAUGUUAAAUAUUUUUGUUGAAUUCCAGUUUACAUCAAGUCUGAGGUCUGUGGAGGUCUGUGGAGGUCUGUGGAGGUCUGUCUAUGCGAUAGCUAGCACUGCCCAUGUCCACAUGACUGCACAGGCUCUGAGGUUUGGUGACAGCUUGUGUUACAGACUGAGUUCUCAUGUUUUGUUAAAUUCUGUUCACAUUAACAUUCUUCGCAUUGUGAAUGGAGUAGUUGUGGAUUGUAUUUUAACUGAGUAGGAUGUAAUUAUUUUUAAUAGUCUGUAAAUUGUACAUCUUAUUAAAAAACAAAACACCAACACACAAACACGCACACAAACACAAUUCCUCUCCAUUGUGUUUUGGUGAUUCCACUGUUAAAAAUGUACCUCAUUUAAAAUCCACAUUUUCAACUUCUGCUGUGUGUGAAUGUCUGUAUGACUGAAUGAGAGAGAGGAGAGAGGAGUGGAGUUCCUGUCGCUGU